rnacentral:rRNA from 1 species
CGGCAUGCCUUACACAUGCAAGUCGAACGGCAGCGCGGACUUCGGUCUGGCGGCGAGUGGCGAACGGGUGAGUAAUACAUCGGAACGUACCCUGUUGUGGGGGAUAACUAGUCGAAAGAUUAGCUAAUACCGCAUACGACCUGAGGGUGAAAGCGGGGGACCGAAAGGCCUCGCGCAGCAGGAGCGGCCGAUGUCUGAUUAGCUAGUUGGUGGGGUAAAGGCCCACCAAGGCGACGAUCAGUAGCUGGUCUGAGAGGACGAUCAGCCACACUGGGACUGAGACACGGCCCAGACUCCUACGGGAGGCAGCAGUGGGGAAUUUUGGACAAUGGGGGCAACCCUGAUCCAGCAAUGCCGCGUGUGUGAAGAAGGCCUUCGGGUUGUAAAGCACUUUUGUCCGGAAA